AACUGGGUGACUCUUAA
rnacentral:misc_RNA from 1 species